CACCACUCAAGCCUGGCUUGGUAUUGGGCGGCGGGGCUCCCCCGCGCCCCAAUUUCACCGGCUGGACGACCCGUAUCUCAGCGUUGUGGCAUCAAUUCGCUGGCGAGAGGGGCGGUCCACGCCGUUAAAACUUCCAUCAAA
rnacentral:misc_RNA from 1 species